UACGAACGGUCCAAACGUUAUUCGGAAUCACUGGGCUUAAAGCGUCCGUAGGCGGCUCGGAAAGUAGGGUGUGAAAUCCCACGGCUCAACCGUGGAAUUGCGCUCUAAACUAUCGAGCUAGAGGAGAUAGAGGUGAGCGGAACUGAUGGUGGAGCGGUGAAAUGCGUUGAUAUCAUCAGGAACACCGGAGGCGAAGGCGGCUCACUGGGUCUUUCGACGCUGAGGGACGAAAGCUAGGGGAGCGAACGGG
rnacentral:rRNA from 1 species